CAGGCCUAACACAUGCAAGUCGAACGGAAAGGCCCUGCUUUUGUGGGGUGCUCGAGUGGCGAACGGGUGAGUAACACGUGAGUAACCUGCCCUUGACUUUGGGAUAACUUCAGGAAACUGGGGCUAAUACCGGAUAGGAGCUCCUGCUGCAUGGUGGGGGUUGGAAAGUUUCGGCGGUUGGGGAUGGACUCGCGGCUUAUCAGCUUGUUGGUGGGGUAGUGGCUUACCAAGGCUUUGACGGGUAGCCGGCCUGAGAGGGUGACCGGCCACAUUGGGACUGAGAUACGGCCCAGACUCCUACGGGAGGCAGCAGUGGGGAAUAUUGCACAAUGGGCGGAAGCCUGAUGCAGCAACGCCGCGUGCGGGAUGACGGCCUUCGGGUUGUAAACCGCUUUCGCCUGUGACGAAGCGUGAGUGACGGUAAUGGGUAAAGAAGCACCGGCUAACUACGUGCCAGCAGCCGCGGUGAUACGUAGGGUGCGAGCGUUGUCCGGAUUUAUUGGGCGUAAAGGGCUCGUAGGUGGUUGAUCGCGUCGGAAGUGUAAUCUUGGGGCUUAACCCUGAGCGUGCUUUCGAUACGGGUUGACUUGAGGAAGGUAGGGGAGAAUGGAAUUCCUGGUGGAGCGGUGGAAUGCGCAGAUAUCAGGAGGAACACCAGUGGCGAAGGCGGUUCUCUGGGCCUUUCCUGACGCUGAGGAGCGAAAGCGUGCGGAGCGAACAGGCUUAGAUACCCUGGUAGUCCACGCUGUA
rnacentral:rRNA from 1 species